rnacentral:rRNA from 1 species
ACGAACGCUGGCGGCGUGCUUAACACAUGCAAGUCGAACGGAAAGGCCCUGCUUUUGUGGGGUGCUCGAGUGGCGAACGGGUGAGUAACACGUGAGUAACCUGCCCUUGACUUUGGGAUAACUUCAGGAAACUGGGGCUAAUACCGGAUAGGAGCUCCUGCUGCAUGGUGGGGGUUGGAAAGUUUCGGCGGUUGGGGAAGGACUCGCGGCUUAUCAGCUUGUUGGUGGGGUAGUGGCUUACCAAGGCUUUGACGGGUAGCCGGCCUGAGAGGGUGACCGGCCACAUUGGGACUGAGAUACGGCCCAGACUCCUACGGGAGGCAGCAGUGGGGAAUAUUGCACAAUGGGCGGAAGCCUGAUGCAGCAACGUCGCGUGCGGGAUGACGGCCUUCGGGUUGUAAACCGCUUUCGCCUGUGACGAAGCGUGAGUGACGGUAAUGGGUAAAGAAGCACCGGCUAACUACGUG